CGCGGUGAAUACGUUCCCGGGCCUUGUACACACCGCCCGUCAAACCAUGGAAGUUGGGGGUGCCUGAAAAUCGUAACCGUAAGGAGCGAUCUAGGGUAAACUUGAUAACUGGGGUU
rnacentral:rRNA from 1 species